UUAAUGUCGGUCUCAUGUUCACACAUCAAUGCCUAACUACCAAAGGAAUGAAAGCCAAAAGUUCCCAGCAUAAAGCAUUGGCCUUACCAGUUCCCGACUUCUGAGCCAGAACAAUUAAUAUCCUGGAAUCCUUGAAUUUCAAGAGGCAUGACAAGCAGGGAAGUUCCUGUGGUUCCCAGAGACUCCAGCUUUCUGUUCCCCAUUACUGGAAGAUUCAGCACAAGCCCACUUCCUCCAGGAAGAUUCCCUUUUCUUGCACAGAACUCACUACAUGAUUCUCUUGACCAUUUCUUCCUUGACGUGUUACAUUGGGGCUGAAGGUCAGCUUUCAUCAGUCACUCUCUGGUUUCUCUAACCUCUCCAUUCUCUUUUUGAAUUAGACUCUUCAGUAUGCCAUCAUGUUCAUCAGUAAAUGAUGAAGGCACUGAAUAAACUUCCCAAGGACAGUGGGUGUUGCCACAACAUAGUGACAUCACAGAGGAUGCCAGAGCUCUCCAGGAUACAUUAGAAUGUCUAGGGAAGAGCUGCAGAUGUCAUGGGAACUGAUAUUCUAAGAGCUUUCCUUCCACUAGAUGUCAAGUUGUCCUUUGCAGGAGCCUCUGCUGGGAUACAAGGGAAGCCCUUCAGCAUCCCCUUCAUCCAAAGCCAGAGAUCUCUCCCUGAUUGAUUGAACAUCCUUCAGUUCUUUCCCUGUGUAGAACUGAAUCUUUAUCUCCUACUGAAAUUUUAUGUACACAAGGUCAGAAGAGGCUCCUUAAAGCUGAGAGCAAUGUAGCACCAUAAUUUCCAGGACAUGACACAGGCCCUUUUGAGCUACAUGAAAGGUUAUUCAAGGAGAAUAAGUUCUGAAAUAGCCACAGUGACACCACAAUCAUUGCCCAAGAGGAAGGAGUGGUGAAGUCAGAGCCCAAGUGAAGCUCCAUGAGACACUUAUCCAAACCUGACUCUACCAUGGUGGAUGCAACACUGGAAAGGGGCAUGGGAAAGGAUAAAUGAUCACACAGCAGAGUGCAAAAAAAGGGAAGAGGAAAGCAAAAGGCAACAGGCUAAAGUGGCUGACCAACAACUACAGAUCUGCCACCAGAAAGUGGAGACACUGAAAAACAGAGUCCAGUCUCUGAAGUAGAAGAGAAAGAAGCCAAGUCUGAAUAACCAUCCAUCAUGUCUGUCAUUAUCCCUGCCUCGUUACUUGUAAAAUCCAGAGGAAUAUUUGAACCAA